GAUGAACGCUGGCGGCGUGCCUAAUACAUGCAAGUCGAACGCUGGAGAUCUAGCUUGCUAGAUCGAAGGAGUGGCGAACGGGUGAGUAAUACAUAAGCAACCUACCCACGAAGACUGGGAUAAUCUCUGGAAACGGGGACUAAUACCGGAUAGGUAAUCGGAAGGCAUCUUCUGGUUAUUAAAGGUUAAAAACACUGGUGGAUGGGCUUAUGGCGGAUUAGUUAGUUGGUGAGGUAACGGCCCACCAAGACGAUGAUGCGUAGCCGGCCUGAGAGGGUGAACGGCCACAUUGGGACUGAGACACGGCCCAGACUCCUACGGGAGGCAGCAGUAGGGAAUUUUCGGCAAUGGGGGCAACCCUGACCGAGCAACGCCGCGUGAGUGAAGACGGCCUUCGGGUUGUAAAGCUCUGUUGUAAGGGAAGAACGGUAGAUAGAGAAUAUCUAAGUGACGGUACCUUACCAGAAAGCCACGGCUAACUACGUG
rnacentral:rRNA from 1 species